AAUUGGACCCUCUGAAGACUGCGUGGACUUGGAUUAAAAAUCAGUAUUCUAGUCUGAACUGUGGGAAGAAGGGAUAGUUGGUCUGUGGUUUUCCUCCUUAAAGGACACAAUGUUUUCUAAACUAGCACAUUUUCAGGCCAUUGUGGUGCUUCGUCGUGGAGUUCAUUCUUCUUUGGCUUCUGCUGCAUCUGUUACAACUAAAAGAACAGUCCAAGGCCCUCUAUCUUCUGAUUACAUUUUUGAACGGGAAUCUAAAUAUGGUGCACACAAUUACCAUCCUUUACCUGUAGCCCUGGAGAGAGGGAAAGGUGUUUACGUAUGGGAUGUAGAAGGCAGAAGAUAUUUUGACUUCCUGAGUGCGUAUGGUGCUGUUAACCAAGGGCAUUGUCACCCUAAGAUUGUGAAUGCCCUGAAGAGUCAGGUGGACAAAUUGACUUUAACAUCUAGGGCUUUCUAUAAUAACGUACUUGGUGAAUAUGAGGAGUAUGUUACUAAACUCUUCAACUACCACAAAGUUCUUCCUAUGAAUACAGGAGUGGAGGCUGGAGAGACUGCCUGCAAACUUGCUCGUAAAUGGGCCUAUACUGUGAAGGGUAUUCAGAAAUACAAAGCAAAGAUUGUUU